AACGAACGCUGGCGGCAUGCCUAACACAUGCAAGUCGAACGAGACCUUCGGGUCUAGUGGCGCACGGGUGCGUAACGCGUGGGAAUCUGCCCUUUGCUUCGGAAUAACAGUUAGAAAUGACUGCUAAUACCGGAUGAUGUCUUCGGACCAAAGAUUUAUCGGCAAAGGAUGAGCCCGCGUAGGAUUAGGUAGUUGGUGGGGUAAAGGCCUACCAAGCCGACGAUCCUUAGCUGGUCUGAGAGGAUGAUCAGCCACACUGGGACUGAGACACGGCCCAGACUCCUACGGGAGGCAACAGUGGGGAAUAUUGGACAAUGGGCGCAAGCCUGAUCCAGCAAUGCCGCGUGAGUGAUGAAGG
rnacentral:rRNA from 1 species